UACGUAGGGUGCGAGCGUUGUCCGGAAUUAUUGGGCGUAAAGGGCUCGUAGGCGGCCAACUAAGUUAUACGUGAAAUCCCGUCGGCUUAACCGGGAACUGCGUCUGAUACUGGAUGGCUUGAGUUCGGGAGAGGGAUGCGGAAUUCCAGGUGUAGCGGUGAAAUGACGUAGAUAUCUGGAGGAACACCGGUGGCGAAGGCGGGGUCUCUGGGCAGUAACUGACGCGAGGAGCGAAAGCGUGGGUAGCAAACAGGAUUGAGAA
rnacentral:rRNA from 1 species